AACGAACGCUGGCGGCAUGCCUAACACAUGCAAGUCGAACGAAACCUUCGGGUCUAGGGGCGCCCGGGUGCGUAACGCGUGGGAACCUGCCCUUAGGGUCGGAAUAACUCCCCGAAAGGGGUGCUAAUACCGGAUAAUGUCUUCGGACCAAAGAUUUAUCGCCUUUGGAUGGGCCCGCGUUGGAUUAGCUAGUUGGUAGGGUAAAAGCAUACCAAGGCGACGAUCCAUAGCUGGUCUGAGAGGAUGAUCAGCGACACUGGGACUGAGACACGGCCCAGACUCCUACGGGAGGCAGGAGUGGGGAAUAGUGGAAAAUGGGCGAAGGCAUGAUCCAGCAAGGACGCGUGAGUGAUGAAGGCAUUAGGGUUGUAAAGCGCAUUUAACCGGGAUGAUAAUGACAGUACCGGGAGAAUAAGCCACGGCUAACUCCGUG
rnacentral:rRNA from 1 species